rnacentral:rRNA from 1 species
UACGUAGGGCGCAAGCGUUGUUCGGAAUUACUGGGCGUAAAGGGCUCGUAGGCGGCCAACUAAGUCAGACGUGAAAUCCCUCGGCUUAACCGGGGAACUGCGUCUGAUACUGGAUGGCUUGAGUUUGGGAGAGGGAUGCGGAAUUCCAGGUGUAGCGGUGAAAUGCGUAGAUAUCUGGAGGAACACCGGUGGCGAAGGCGGCAUCCUGGACCAAUACUGAAGCUGAGUGAGCGAAAGCCAGGGGAGCAAACGGG